UGUGAGAGAUUUUCUACUUCACAUUUUCUUUUUCUGGAACUGUUUCUGAGACUGUCCCUCGGUCUCCCAGCCUUAGCAGGUCUAAAGAGCAGAGAUGACUCCAAGUGUAGCCCACCAGGAGCAGCACAGAUCCCCCACCCCACUGGCGAUCUCAACCUGACGAUGGAAAACACCACUUUACAGACUCAGAUCUCAUCACGUCACUCUCCUGGUUAAAGACUUUGCCGCUGGUUUCCUACUGGCCUUGGAAAAGCAACAGAGGACUGACCAUGGCCUCCAGACACGGAACACUGCUGGCUGCUGCCCUCUCCCGUCAGUUCACCGCAACUGCCUGCAGUGUGCUCUGCUCUCACUUUCAGGUACACAGCAGGGUUUUGGUGUCUCAGGGUUUUUAUUCAGGUUCCCUCAACGCAUCCACCCAGUGGACACCCUUAGCAAAUUUUCUAAGGGGUUGUACAGCUAAAUCCUUAAGGUCACACCAGUUUGUGAUAUCUAACAGUAGAAAAGUUCAUAACAUGAUUCUUCCAAAGACAAAAAAAUUCAUUAUUUGGUAUAUCAUCUGUUCGUUUGAUUUAUAUAUAGAACAAAGAAAUGGUAGCUACAAACAGUUUAUAUUUGGGAUAACUAGUAAAGAAAAACUAAAUCUCACUGCCAAAUGAAAGGCAAAUGGCCCUAUUGAUCAUGGAAAUUUCAUAAGAAUUUACUGAACCACAUGUUACCUUGCUGUAUUCUCUAGCCGUGUGUGUGUGUGUGUGUGUGUGUGUGUGUGUGUGUGUGUGUGUGGGCGCGCGUGUGCGCGUGCAUGUGCGUGUCCAGCGUUGCAAGGUAUUUCAGGUUUAAACACUUAUCUUUACAUCACCAGUCAAUAUAGUUAAGUGAUAAAGUCCUAGUC